GUAGGGAAUCUUCCACAAUGGGCGAAAGCCUGAUGGAGCAACGCCGCGUGGGUGAAGAAGGUCUUCGGAUCGUAAAACCCUGUUGUUAGAGAAGAAAGUGCGUGAGAGUAACUGUUCACGUUUCGACGGUAUCUAACCAGAAAGCCACGGCUAACUACGUGCCAGCAGCCGCGGUAAUACGUAGGUGGCAAGCGUUAUCCGGAUUUAUUGGGCGUAAAGGGAACGCAGGCGGUCUUUUAAGUCUGAUGUGAAAGCCUUCGGCUUAACCGGAGUAGUGCAUUGGAAACUGGGAGACUUGAGUGCAGAAGAGGAGAGUGGAACUCCAUGUGUAGCGGUGAAAUGCGUAGAUAUAUGGAAGAACACCAGUGGCGAAAGCGGCUCUCUGGUCUGUAACUGACGCUGAGGUUCGAAAGCGUGGGUAGCAAACAGGAUUAGAAACCCCAGUAGUCC
rnacentral:rRNA from 1 species